rnacentral:misc_RNA from 1 species
GUCAAAAUCAAAUUACUAAUAAAUUCAGCCAAAAGUUAUUAAAGAAAAAGUCCAAACAAGUUAAUUGUACAGGUCGGGUGAAAAACCUAAAAAUACUUGGCCCGUUACAAGGCUGCCUAAAAUAUCUUACAAUCCACACAAACUAUAAAGCAGAGCAAGUUGAAGUUUAGCCCCGCAACCCAUUUCGGCCCAAGGUUUGCUGAUGAAACGAAAUUUUCUUGUCGAUUCUCCAACUAAAACGUUGCAAAAGCUCAGUUAGAGAACAUAAGAAAAAGAAGAGAUCGCCUUUAAAAAUUAAGCAAAAAGAUAUUACAAUAUUCGCUAAGAAAUACAAAAAUAAAACAAAAUAUGCAAAAAUAUAUAUUACGUUAUAGAAUUUUGCAAAUCCUAUCCUAUCCACAGAAUUUCAAACAAACGCAAGCAUGACAGCUUAACAAAAUCAAUAUCAGGUAACUCCCGCAUAUACUGAGUGGAGAGAUAAUGCCUCACACAAUUUAAAGAAGCGUAAGUUGGAGUUUAGGUCGGUUUGGUUGAGGCUCCACAACCUCCAAGUGAAUUUUAACUGGCUGCAAAAUACCAUAAGAAAGACUACCAUCCAUCUUCUUGAUUUUUUGUUGCUGCUCAUCCACAAACCAUUCACCACCUCCUUUCUCGCCCUUAGUUGUCAAGUACACUGGUCCUUCUAUACCGUACUUGGGUACAAACACUAUGAAGCCAUUGGACCUUAUCUUCACUAUUCUGGCCUCUGUGUCUGUGGGCCUUUUUCUGAAGUAUAUGAGUGUAUGGAGCUCCACUGAACCUCGACUUGCCAUCUGAGCAUUCCUAUGCCGGUAAUUUAAGUCUGAAAGAGAUUCUCAACAAACAAAGUUACUUUUGGCUCAAGAUAUACAUGUGAAAUGGAUGAUAUAAUGAUUAAGUAGUGGCUCACUGCCCAUCAAAUACAGUUCUAAAGGCAUCAUUUGGUCAAUAAUUGAAGAGUGAGUUUAAAAUUGGAGAUGCUUAAAACACGGUGCGGAAGGCCAGUGGAAUCUGAACUCUAAGAAAGAGCAUUUGAUUGCAGGAAGUGAGAGAUUGGACUUAUUGUAAACUUGCUCAGUAUGAGUUUCAACUUGGAAAUACAAACAAACUUCACCUUAAAUACUUGCCGAGCAUUUAUAUAGAGUUAACAACAAAGGUUAACAGGAAGUAGUGUGUUGCUUACUGUCAGCAAUACUAGUUAACUGGGGUCUGUCUCUGAAUACUGUUGGAAGUUUGUAUAUCCCUAAAGACGCAGCAAGCAACCUAUGAACAAUGACAUCAGCAUAUCUUCUAAUAGGUGAUGUGAAAUGAGUAUAUAGAGGUGCCGCAAGACCAUAAUGAUGAAACUCUGGGGGGGUGAGAUCCCCACUACAAAAAUACACUGCCUGUGUCAUACACCUCGUUGCCAUUAUACGGAUAAGCUUGUUAAAAUAUGGAUCAUCACUCACAGCACAGUCAAGUGAAUCAGCUAGCGCUUUUGAUGAUGAGAUAUCCAAGUUCAGACCAACAGAAGCAGCUGUACGCAGCAAAGGUUCAAGCAUAUCUUUGGUUGGAGUAGGAUGACGCCUUAAUAGUGAACACCCUGGAAAAUGUUCAAGAAUUUGUUGGGCUACAGA